rnacentral:rRNA from 1 species
GUUUGAUUCGGCUCAGAUUGAACGCUGGCGGGAUGCUUACACAUGCAAGUCGAACGGCAUACGGACUUCAGUCUGGUGGCGAGUGGCGAACAGGUGAGUAAUGUAUCGGAACGUGCCUAGUAGCGGGGAUAACUACGCGAAAGCGUAGCUAAUACAGCACGCCCUUCGGGGGAAAGCGGGGGACCUUCGGGCCUCGCACUGUGAAACGGCCGAUAUCGGAUUAGCUAGUUGGUGGGGUAACGGCUCACCAAAAGGCGACGAUCCGUAACUGCGGUUGAAGACAAUCAGCCACGCUGGGACUGAGACACGGCCCAGACUCCUACGGAGAACAGCGGGUAGAAUUUUGGACAAUGGGAAACCUGAUCAGCCAUCCGCGUGUGCGAUGAAGGCCUUCAGGUUGUAAGCACUUUUGGCAGGAAAAGCAGCACAGGAUAAUACCCCGUGCAACGGCAAUUACCUGCAGAAUAAGCACCACAGCUAACUACGUGCCAGCAGCCGCGGUAAUACGUAGGGUGCAAGCGUUAAUCGGAAUUACUGGGCGUAAAGCGUACAGGCGGUUCGGAAAGAAAGAUGUGAAAUCCCAGAGCUUAACUGGAACUGCCAUUUUAACUACCGAGCUAGAGAGUGUUAUCAGAGGGAGGUGGAAUUCCGCGAUGUGGCAGUGAAAUGCGUAGAUAUGCGGAGGAACACCGAUGGCAGAAGGCAGUCUCCUGGGAUAACACCCCUGACGCUCAUGCACGAAAGCGUGGGAGCAAACAGGAUUAGAUACCCUGGUAGUCCGCCUAAACGUGUCAACUAGCUGUUGGAACCGGGCCUUGGUAGCGCAAUAACGCGUGAAGUUGACCAUAUAGAGUACGGUCGCAAGAUUAAAACUCAAAGGAAUUGACGGGGACCCACUGAAAGCGGUGGAUGAUAUAGUUAAUUCGAUGCAGCACGAAAACCUUACCUACCGCCGACAUGUCUGGAAUCCCGAAGAGAUUUGGGAGUGCUCGCAAGAGAACCGGAACACAGGUGCUGCAUGGCUGUCGUCAGCUCGUGUCGUGAGAUGUUGGGUUAAGUCCCGCAACGAGCGCAACCCUUGUCAUUAGUUGCUACGAAGGAGCAUAAUGAGACUGCGGUGACAAACCGGAGGAAAGGUGGGGAUGACGUCAGAAUCCUCAUGGCCCAUAUAGGUAGGGCUUCACCCGCACGUCAUACAAUGGUCGGGACAGAGGGUCGCCAACCCGCGAGGGAAGACCAUCCAGAAACCCGAUCGUAGUCGGAUCGCAGUCUGCAUCGACUGCGUGAAGUCGGAAUCGCUAGUAAUCGCGGAUCAGCAUGUCGCGGUGAAUGCGUUCCCGGGUCUUGCUUGCACCGCCCGUCACCAUGGAGUGGGUUUUGCGAAGUAGUUGGCCUAACCGUAAGGAGGCGAUUACCACAGUAGGAUUCAUGACUGGGGUGAAGUCGUAACUGAAUAG